rnacentral:lncRNA from 1 species
UCACCUCGCCGCUGAUGGUUUUAGAAAAUUUGUGAUUCCAUCCAAUAGACCAAUUGAAAGGCAUGCCAGGCAUCUUUAUUGCCCUAAGGUGUUAAAAGUGAGCACCUUUAAGAGCAAAACAUCAUUAAAAACCUACUUAGGUAAGCAGUUUGUGGGGAAUUUUGUAGGAUGGAGAGAUACAUUAAACACUGAUACUAUUCUCAUAGAACUUAUAAAGACUGAGAUCAAAUUUUCCAGGGAUUUAAAUUAUGUUCAUGCAUCAAGUAUCUGUGCAUAAUUUCUAGAGGAGAAAUCCAGCCUCGAACGUUCUCCAAGUGGCCAUUGCUGCUGUGAAGUUUGUUCCCAUGGAUGACAAGAAUGUUCUGACGGUACUCGAGCAAAUCAUCAAUAAAGUGAAUGUGUUGAUACUCUUAAAGAGUUGAAAGGGAAAAAUCUUGCCUGCCGUUAGUAAUCGUUUUUGUAUGCUGUGUAGCGUAGGAGAAGUAAAUGGCUGUUUGUCUUUUGUUUGUUGCAUUUCUGCUCAUCCAAAUAUGUGACAUAGCAACAAGUUUGAGCGUUCUCAUGAAACCCAUUAGUUCCGUUUCCAUAAGGAGUUUUUCUUUCCUCCUUGGCGGUCGGGCCUAGCGGACACAGACUUCACCCUACGCCUGCAAAACAGCCAUAGGCUUGAGUGAGGGAAAAGACAACAUGCCCAAAUGUUGACACUCCUUCUUCAGUUUCUAGAUCUUUCUGGGGAAAGAAGUGUUUUCAUAAAACACAGACAGAAUUCAUUUACAUAGAGCUUUCCCUUAAUGGCUCCUGUCAGGAUAGAACAGCUGAGAAACAUAUGGUACCCAUUUCCCUGUAUCACUUGGGAAAAAAGUCCACAUGUAAAUAAAGCCAACAUAAAAGACUGGCCCUUUGAACCAAUGACCUUGUAUAAUACAUAAAUAUAUCAGUAAAGCACACUUGGUGUAUUGACCCACUAAGUCAUAUGGCUUUAAAUAUUUUUAAUCCAUUAUGAGAUUCAUAGUUUUUAGAAGCUCCAAAGGAUCAAGGUUAUUGACAAAAUAUUAUCAGAUAUCAUGCCAAAUAAUAAGCAUGUGUCUCAUAAUGUCUAUGAAUAAGUUUCCCCACAAUCUUUAUAGACUGGAGUGGGGAGUUAGUGAGUAAAAGCAAAUGCCUAUUUAUACCUUACACGCUCCAUGUUUUUUCUUUCCCUGUUGCUUUACGUGAAUCAAGUACUCUGUGUUCCUAAGGCAGAGAAAAUGGCUUGGCAGAAAUUUCUGGCAAAUUAUAACUGCUCAUAAUUUAAUAUUUUAAAACAGAAAGGAACAUAUUAAAGAUAGAAAAUUUUCUCAUUUACAGGGAACUGAUUGGAAUUAUUAGUCACUGCCUUUACAUAUUGACAUUGCAUAAAUGACUUUAAAGAAUCUAGCUUUCUCUGGCAGUUUUAACUCCUGUGGGUUUAUUAGCAGAGCUAUUCCCCUCCCAUGAAAUUAAGCUGCAAAUCCCUCAGAAGGAUUCACUUUAUGCAUGUUAAAAGAUUGAUGAAUUGUGCAAAGUGAAAUUCAAGGUCACAUACUUGUGUCAGAUAAUUGUGUGCUCAGGGCCAAGCAUUGCAUAUGGCUCAGAACUCUGGCCACAAAAUGGUGAGAGUAAGGGAGUGGGGAGUCUGAGGACGUCUAGAUGCCCCCCUUCCCUUCUCAGUAGCCCUUGCUAUAUAUGUUGCUCACUGGGAAGAAACCAUUCCUCCUCCCAUAACUUUUAGUGUUCUUUUCCAGAGCCAGAAGAGCCUCGGGGGUGUGCUAUGUACUACAGACCUUCUCAACCCAGGCUAAGAGAACUCAUGAUUUUAUGUAAGGACACUCAGUCGUCUCUUCGCUUUAUUCCAUAACUUCUCUGGAUGCUUUUAGGACACAUCUCAGCAUAAGCAAUGACUAGUAGUACCACAUUUAGGUAACUCUAUUAAGGAGCUCUUUAGCUGUAAGAGCUAGUCAUUAGCAGAGCCUAUUGUAAAAGUUACAGACCUGAGCACACCUACUGCCUCAGGGUCUCUCAGUCUUUGCCUGAGCCCAACAGGAAAGACAGGCAGGUUUACUUUGAAUUAAACCCUUCCCAACUACGCCUGUUUGGGGGAUAAAGAGUAGCUGGGAGCCUUACCUGUCUGACAUAACAUGAAAUAAGCCAAGCGCAGAAGAAUAGGAGCCUGUAAAGUAGCCUCCAGGAGUGCUGGGUCAUCUGCCUUCUAGGAGAGCAGUGUCUUGGAGAGGACACAGCCGUGCUGGGAGCAAGAACACUGCAGCUUCUCUAGUCUACCCUGACAUGUGCUACCAAUACAGCUUGCUUGUAUUGAGGUUGUGGUUUUUACCUUAUCUCCAAAUGUGUUUGGCUGCCUCACUGUCUAUCUCAACCAGACACUUAGUUGAAUGUAGGUCAGUGUGCUGUCUUUAUUUUAUCCGUAC